rfam:Mus musculus chromosome 18, GRC primary reference assembly.
AUCCUCUUGUGUUCUCUAAGUGUAAUGAGUGGGUUUUCAGCUACUGUGUGAGAUGCGUCGCCUCAAAUUUUGUCAUGAUGUCAGCACAUUAUCCAUCUGACA